rnacentral:rRNA from 1 species
CCUACGGGAGGCUGCAGUGAGGAAUAUUGGUCAAUGGACGGAAGUCUGAACCAGCCAUGCCGCGUGCAGGAAGACGGCUCUAUGAGUUGUAAACCUCUUUUGCCGGGGAGCAAGCCUGAGCACGUGUGCCCAGGCGGAGAGUACCCGGAGAAAAAGCAUCGGCUAACUCCGUGCCAGCAGCCGCGGUAAUACGGAGGAUGCGAGCGUUAUCCGGAUUUAUUGGGUUUAAAGGGUGCGCAGGCGGGCUGUUAAGCCGGCGGUAAAAAUUCAGGGCUCAACCCUGUCGAGCCGUCGGAACUGGCAGUCUUGAGUGGGCGAGAAGUAUGCGGAAUGCGUGGUGUAGCGGUGAAAUGCAUAGAUAUCACGCAGAACGCCGAUUGCGAAGGCAGCAUACCGGCGCCCGACUGACGCUGAGGCACGAAAGCGUGGGGAUCGAACAGGAUUAGAUACCCGGGUAGUC